ensembl:lncRNA
UUUUAUGCCUGAGUUACAAUAACUUUUAUUCCCAUGGCGAGACAUCGAAAUUUGUGAUGGCGCCAUGGACACGCCCUUUAACGAAAACUCAAGAUCUUCACAAUUUAACAUCGCACAGGCCUUUAGAAUAGAGUGACUGAAAAAAAAAAAUUAUGUCAUAAAAUUUCUCGGGGUAGUUUGUUACAGUGUAAAAUAUGUCACUUCCUGUUGCCAGUAGGUGUCGCUAUGACUAUAACUGAAUAUGGGCAUAUUAAUCUGUUCAGGUCAGGAGUCUUAUCAAACAUGUGAAGUUUGUGGCAGAUUGGACAUUGUAUGUCUGAGUUAUAGCAACUUCAUUUUUCAUGGCGAAUCAUCGAAAUUCGUCAGGCCGCCACGGACACGCCCUUCAAUGAAAACUCAAGAUCUUCGCAAUUUAACAUCGCAAAGGCCUUUAGAUUAGGCAUACCAAAUUUGGUGUUGAUCUGAAUAAAUCUCUAGGAGGAGUUCGUUAAAAUACAAGGCAUGCAAAUGACAAAAAUGAUGCAAAAAUUUGCUCAUAAAAUUAAAAAAUAACCGACUUCCUGUUGGGUUUCGGAUAUUGCUCCAAGAGUCUUUUUUGUAGGUACUGAUGCUUUACAUAUGUGUGCCAAUUGUCGUGCAUGUACGUGAAACACAGCUCGAGGGCUGUUGAUUUUUUUACGAUAGGUGGCGCUGUCGAGCCAUUUUGCCACACCCUCUUCUGAAACCUAUAUCAGACGUAAAUUUUCACAAGGUCUGACGCGUGUGCAAGGUUUCAAGACUUUUCGAGCAUGUUUAGGCCCUCAAAAAUGCGAUUCAUUUUGGAGAAGAAGAAGAAGAAGAAGAAGAAGAAGAAGAAGAAGAAGAAGAAGAAGAAGAAGAAGAAGAAACGGAGCAAUUCCAAUAGGGUCCUCACACUGCAGUGCUCGGGCCCUAAUAAACGGAGCAAUUCCAAGAGGGUCCUCGCACUGCAGUGCUCGAGCCCUAAUUAAAGCUGCAAGCAGCGAUGAAAGGGCCCUCGCACCCGGGCUCACCACCAACCGGUGGCCAUAGUAGAAAAGCGAACGUUGGGCCAUAUGCUUAUAAAAAGGUAAAUAUUUGUGCCACAUUUCCUGCUGCCAACUGGUGGCGCUAUGAUUAUAACUGAAUAUCGGCAUGUAAAUGUCUUCAGGCCAGGACUCUUACCAAACAUGCAAGGUUUCGGGCAGAUCAGACAUUGCAUGUUUAAGUUAGUGUAAAAGAAGUAAUUUCCUGUUGCCAGCAGCUGGCGCUAUAAUUAUAAUUGAAUAUUGGCCUUUAGAUGUGUUCAGGCCAGGACUCUUAUAAAACGUGUGAAAUUUGGGGCAGAUUGGGCAUUGUAUGCAAGAGUUACAACAACUUCCUUUUUCAUAGUAUUAGUAGCAUGCUUUAGCACUUAGCUAAGUGCUACUAACAUGUUUUAAUAUGUUUUUAACAUGUUGCCAGUGUAUUUAGCACUUCCUGACACUUUUUAAUAUGUUGCCAGGAGUCCAUAACAGUGUUAAACAUGACACUUCCUGUUGCCAGUAGGUGGCGCUAUGACUAUAACCCGAAUAAUGGCAUGUUGAUGUGUUCUGGACAGGACUCUUGUCAAACGUUUGAAGUUUGGGGCAGAUUGAUCAUUGCUUGCCUGAGUUACAGCAAUUUCCUUUUUUACGGCAUUAGUAGCAUGCUUUAACACUUAGCUAAGUGCUACUAGCAUGUAUAAGUAUUUUUCUAGCAUGUUGCCAGCCUAUUUAACACUUGUUGACACUUUUUAAUAUGUUCUUAGGAGUC